GUAGACAAGAGCUGGUGCCGCAAGAACGGCUAGACAGACUGUGCAAGAGCUCGAAUGGCUGUUUGACAAGCACAAACCUCUUACGAAUCAUACUAUUGCGAGAACCCUACAACUAGAAGUUCCUUGAAUGGCGAUUACUCAGCUCUACUGCUCCAAUUUGAAGGCUGGUUGUUGCAAGGACAGAGGUGUUGGGAGGCGAGGAAUGUUAAGAAAUCCGGCGAGCUUAUGGGUGUGGAUUUGGUGUUCCUCGAUAAGAAGGUAAAGAUCCUUGAAAGGUUUUAUUGUAAUUACUUUAACAUCUUGCCUUUAUAUAUAGUUUUUUUUUUUGUAAACGAUUUGUUGCCUUUAUAUUUACCAUUGAGACCAACGAGUUCAUCCUUUUUUCAGCUACCUUGAUCCACGGUUCUAUACUUCUAUUGGUGCUCAUAGACUCAACACUUUCAACCACUUGCUGAGGGAAGGGGUCAUCUAUGAGUCGAGCAAAUUCCAAAACAUCAACAUGAACGGCUACAGGCUUACCAUCUGCAGCAUCAGCAGAAACAUAUACAUCACGCUGAUAUUGUACGUAGGAAGUGGAUAAGUUUGAGCUUUGAUAACUCGAGUUGUACAUCGCUUAGUGCCUUAUGAAAGGAGAUGAGCAUGGAAGCAGCAAAUGUGGAAGCUCUAGACGAGGCCACUGCUCUAAGAGAACGUCAGAUGUAUAUUUUUGUAUUUCAUUUGACAGCCUCACUUAAUAAUUAUUGGGCAUUUAAAAGCCAUGUUUGAAAUUGACAGGAAAUAUCGGGUAGGAAAUCAGAGUGCCUCCUAUAAGUAACAGGGUUGCAGAUAUCCCUCUUGGGAAAAUAUGGUCACAAACCCAUUUAUGGAUUUCCUUAUCGCAGGUAUUUACUUAUCUUGAUCACUCUCUUUCAGUUGAUAAACACAUACUAGCAAGAAAAAGGCUCUAUGAUGUGUAAAGUAUGAGUCUUUUUGAUGUUGUGUUCAAAUUGCAGGGGAUAUUUUAAAUGCGGUAGCAAGACAGAUUGUCCUUAUAGGAACCACAUAGAAAGAUGUUUGGAAGAUCCGGCAAUGCCGUAACAACAUAACUUUCAUUUAUCAUCUGUGUUCUCUCCAAUGUGCAUGAUGAUAGAUGGGUCUUGAUUCUGCUCCAAUAUUGUGUGAUAAAAUGAUGGAAGCAGUGCUUUUAGUUCGGUGGAUUUGCGCAUGAGAGAGUUUACUGCUGUUGGUUGGUUUGGUUUAAGGGGUAAACGAAGGAUUUGUAAAGACCUUUGUUCUUAUUCCUAUCAAGUUUAUUUCUUUUAAUGAUUCGCAAUUUUGUAGCAGGGUCACAAAGAAAUCAAAUUGAGUAAACCAAACAAAGUAUAUAUCCAGAUCAUUUGAUGUUUUUAAUAACACGAACCAAUUGGUUUAAAACUAAAUUAAAAAACACACACACUGAGAAACCAAUGUAGCUUUAUUAGUUAAGAAUAAGACUAAGUGUUUUCCUGCACCAAGUAAGGAAUUUUUUAAAUAUAACUUAUAUUUAAAAAUAAAUUUUAUUAAAUAUUAUAGAUUUUACUAUUUUUUACUAAUAUUUAAUAUAUAUUUGAUAUAUAUUAAAUAAAUUUGUAUCAAACUAAUAAAAUGAUAUAAAAUUGUAUAAUUAUAAAAAAUUUGGCCUAAACAAUAUUUAUAAAAUUUGUAGAUAUAUAAAAAACUAAUGAUCUUACGAUUAGAUAUUUAAAUUUUUUUAAAGUUGUAGAAAUUUUUUAAAACUUUAGUAAUACAAAAUAAUAAUAUUUUGAAAUUUGAAAUGUUAUAUUUGAAUAUAUUUAUUUUAUAAAUGAUGUAUGAGCUAUUACCAUAUUUAAAAAAAGUUUACCAAAAAGAAAUAUCAAUAUUGAAUGUAAUAUAUGAAUUAUUACUAUAUUCUAAUAAGUUUGCCAAAAAUAUAAAUCAACAUUCAAUGAAAUUAUCCAUGUCUUAUUUUUCUAGAAGUCAUGUCAUCAAUUUCAGUAAUCAUGUCAUUUUUAUUUUGUUAAAUUGAUUAUAAAAAGGACAUGUGGCAAAAUCACUUCGCAAAUAUAGUGUAGGGGAUAUUAAUGAUAUAAAAAUAUUGUCACUAGGUAAUUCAAACUUUCGAGAACCCCUAUAAUCACCUCCAUCUGUAAACGAAACCAUAGCUUCCGUUAAGUGCAUAUUAUAGUCAAGACAAAAAUUCAAAAACAGUUAAAAGUUUUACGACUGCAAUGGAUAGUUAAUUAAUUCUCAAACAGCAUAACCAACUUCGCCCAUCCCAAUUUAUAUUGAAUCAACAUAUUAUCAUAACAUUCUUAACAGGUAAAUCACCUUUUAACUGCUUCAAUACAAAUUAACGAAUAAUAUGUGAUCAAAAUGGAUGUUGAAUACUACAAACAAAAUAUAGUCACGAACUGAUCUUUUCAUGCUUCACUUAAUACGAGUAUGUGGAGAGUGUGGCUGCAAUAUCAAAAACACACUACAACAAACAUAUCAACUCUGCAGCUAUGUUCGUGUACACCACAGACACGAACGUUGUACUAAAAACAAUCUAAUUCAAGCCAACUUUCACACCUCAAGCUCUAGCCGCCGACAAAUUUUACAUCGUCUCCAAUACAAGCAUAACGGCCAACCCCACAUCAACAUGGGUUCAGAGAAACUAACACUGUGGAUUUGACUUUUCUAAGUACCCAACGAACAUAACCCAAAACAAACAACUACUCCAACAACUUACUAAUAAAAAGAGAUAAAUGGGUUUCAAAGCCACCACCAUGGACACUUAACAUAACUCGAAUGCACAAUGGUAACUUUAACCGCAUUCAGCCCACACCGACAUAUACGGUCAUAUAAAACAUUAACGAUCAAACCAACAACAAAUUCCAAUGUCACAAGACAUCUUACAACCAAAUCAUGGACAUCCCCACCUAGCAAUCUAAGAUUAGUGAUCGUACACUCAUGACAACACUAUAAAGAAAUAAAGUUUUAUCACGUACCCAAGCAUCACAGACACAACAAAAACCAAUCACUCACAACAAAGACGUACACAAAUAGACACCAUAUAUAGACCAUACGAAAAGAUGACAUCCCGCACUCCGCGCGGGCACACCCCUAGUUGUUUAUAAAAGACGCAACCCAUAUAUGACUUCUGAUUUUCUCAUGUAACACUGUUUCUAAUACUUACUUUGUUCAAACAUCAAACACCAUUUAUCUUACCGGCAACAAUGAAUCUCCUGAACUCCGAUGAUGCCUUAUUAAUGAUUAACACUUUAUUGAACUCCUCCGAUUUGUGGCCAUUAGAUCCGGCGAAUCUCAGCCAGCUGCCACUAGCUCCGACGGCCAUUAACUCCUCCUCCGAUUUGUGGUCAUAUGUUCCGGCGAAUUUCGGCCAGAUCCAGUACGAGGAAAGCAACAUUUCAGCCAGCGCCGUAAAGCUCGAGGACUCAGCUCACUUUAACAUUGAUGCCAAAACGACGCCGGAAAAGAAACGCGGGAGAAGACCGACGCACGGUAGAGAAGAGCCGAUGAACCACGUGGAAGCCGAGCGGUUGAGACGCGAGAAGCUAAACCAGCGGUUCUACGCGUUACGAGCGCUUCUGCCAAACGUAACGAAAAGGGAAAAGGCGUCGAUACUUGAAGACACGGUUACGUACAUUAACGAACUGAAAGUAAACGCGGAAAACGCUGAAUCGGAGAAAAACGCGUUUGAGAUCCAGCUCAACGAACUCAAGGAAAAGAUCGCAGGAAGGAGAAACGGGAGUUCUAGCGUUUGUGGCGGCGGGGAAAAGACGCCGGAGAUUGAGGUGAAGAUCGACGUGAAGGUUAUGGAUCGUGAUGCGCUGAUUAGACUGGAGUCGAGCAAGAACAACCAUCCUGGAGCGAGACUAAUGAAUGCGUUUAUGGAUUUGGAGGUAGAAGUGAAUCACGCGAGCAUCUCGGUGAUGAACAAUCUCAUGAUUCAACAAGUGACGGUGAAGAUGGGGUCGAGGGUUUACAAGCAAGAGCAGCUCCGGGACUUGUUGUUGUCGAAGGUUAAUUAGCGAUUAAUUUUGGGAUUUGUUGAGGUUUAUGAGGUUCAACUUGUAAUUAAGCAAUUGUACUUUGUUUGUCUCAUCAUGCUUCCCAGCCGUUUGGAUUAGAUUUUGUGUACGUCCCCUUGGUAAUGAUAUGGAUAUGGAUAUGGAUAUGUAUACGUGGUACUCAUAGAUUCACUAGUAAGCCCCCAUAAAGAAGGAUAAGCCAUAGCUAACUAAAAAUCUAACCGCUGGUGAAAAAUGAAUUGGUUGCGACGUGGUUGGUGUCGGAGAUUCUUCUUCCGAAUAAUUCUUGGCCCACCAUAACAGGAUGUCGCUUCAUCAUUUUUAAUGGUUUUUACUAUAUCAACAAAUAUGGAGCCAAUAAACCCCAAAUGAAAUCUAAAAAGGCAUCUGUAAAAAUCUUGGCCUGUGGUAGGGUGACAGGUCGGAGAUAUGAUAGGCCAACAACACAUUUUUAAAUUUUUUUCCUUUUUUUCCGAGAGAAAGUUUUUUUUUUUUUUUUGUUCAACCUUCGAGAGAAUAGUUUGCUGAUAGAACGUCGUCAGUCACCUAUAUUUAACAACUUCUUAGGCUUAGUUAGAAGUAAAGCUACAAAGUAAGAUUUGUAUACGUACACUUGAACAUAUGGCAAAUGACUUAAGGAAGAAGGAGAGAUGUGGGACUUGGCUCAAAAGGAUGAGAGCCGGAUGGAAUGGAAGUGAAAGGUAUACUCUUUGUAUCUAAGUUAACUAUCUGUACUUAAUUUCAGUUUGUGCCUUUGGUUAGGUGAAAGAUUAGUUUAGGCGAUUAUUGGCGUAAACCAAUACACAUGUCUCUGUUAUGGACGUGUGUAAGAAAGUCUGUAAAACGGCUAAAUUAUAAAGUCAUUUUCACUUAUAAUCCUAAUAGAUUUUUUUUAUAGAAAAUGUAAUCCUUUUUUUUUGAGCAACCGAAAAUGUAAUCCUAAUAGUUGAUUGUAAGAGAAAUGCACAUAUUGGACCGUCAUGAGAUUUCAGGAACUAUAGACAAUUUAGUUAAAAAAAAUGGAGGGGAUUGGCUGGGUUUUGUCUAUCUACUUUAACUUUAUUUUUUUCUAAAUCAUUAAACUUUACCAAUCAUGCUUUAGCUUUACUUUUCAAAACUAAAGCCUACAUUACUUUUAAUUCUCAUCCUUAUCUGAGAAACCAUGAAAUAAGUCGGAUUAGAUCAAAAUCGAAACAUAAAGCAAUAGAUCGAGCAUCCACUUUCUCAUCCAUAACUCGGACUUGGAGUUGAAGAAAGGAAGUGUUAAGUUGAGGGAGUGAGUCGGUGAGACAACCCAAUGAGGAAGCCAUCCUCGUCGUCCCUGCCUUCCUUAUCAGUCAACAUCCAGCUUUCGAAUCAGCAAGAAGAAGGUGGGAAGUCGGCCGUUGAUGGAGUUCAUGCAAAACAGAGACUAAAACCGAUUGAAUGCAAAGGAGUGGGAUCAUUGGUCGAGACCACAUAUCUUAUACAAUAAAGGAGACUUGCCUCUCUCCUUAGAGUGCCAAAUCAUCGAAGAAGGAGAGGCAAAUCAGGACACGUGUCUGAUUCUCUAAAAGCGAUUGUAGUUCUCGAUUUAUAACUUUACACGAUUUGUACUUGCAUGUUGGGCUAUUAUUUAAGAGCUUAGCCCAGUUAAAAUAAUAAACAUCCGACCCACUAAUAAAGUAGGUUACAAGCAAGCGUCUUCUACUUCUUCAUUGUCGACGCAACCAUCAAAUCUUCUCCCCUCAAUUCCGUCAAUGGAGUAAAUCAGUAUCAAUGGCAUGCAAUUAAUUCACCGUACUUUCUCCUCAUCAAUCCAGACUUUUCACCUCCCCCAUCAACCGAAUCAGCUACUUUAUUAGUGGGUCGGAUGUUUAUUAUUUUAACUGGGCUAAGCUCUUAAAUAAUAGCCCAACAUGCAAGUACAAAUCGUGUAAAGUUAUAAAUCGAGAACUACAAUCGCUUUUAGAGAAUCAGACACGUGUCCUGAUUUGCCUCUCCUUCUUCGAUGAUUUGGCACUCUAAGGAGAGAGGCAAGUCUCCUUUAUUGUAUAAGAUAUGUGGUCUCGACCAAUGAUCCCACUCCUUUGCAUUCAAUUGGUUUUAGUCUCUGUUUUGCAUGAACUCCAUCAACGGCGACUUCCCACCUUCUUCUUGCUGAUUCGAAAGCUGGAUGUUGACUGAUAAAGAAGGCAGGGACGACGAGGAUGGCUUCCUCAUUGGGUUGUCUCACCGACUCACUCCCUCAACUUAACACUUCCUUUCUUCAACUCCAAGUCCGAGUUAUGGAUGAGAAAGUGGAUGCUCGAUCUAUUGCUUUAUGUUUCGAUUUUGAUCUAAUCCGACUUAUUUCAUGGUUUCUCAGAUAAGGAUGAGAAUUAAAAAAGCACACACCAAGACCUAAACGCUAAGGCUAUCUCUCUUUGAAAACGCUAUGUUCUUGCAGCAACGUCUCACCCAUUAGGUAUAUGAAAAUCCAUUUUCGCUUUUGCUUAAAGCAUCUAACUUGAAGCUUGGAUUUUGUGGUUACCCUUCUUAGCUUUCUUAAGGUUCACACGAAAACGUAGACAAGAGCUGGUGCCGCAAGAACGGCUAGACAGACUGUGCAAGAGCUCGAAUGGCUGUUUGACAAGCACAAACCUCUUACGAAUCAUACUAUUGCGAGAACCCUACAACUAGAAGUUCCUUGAAUGGCGAUUACUCAGCUCUACUGCUCCAAUUUGAAGGCUGGUUGUUGCAAGGACAGAGGUGUUGGGAGGCGA
rnacentral:lncRNA from 1 species